UACGAAGGGGGCUAGCGUUGUUCGGAAUUACUGGGCGUAAAGCGCGCGCAGGCGGUUCUUCAAGUCAGAGGUGAAAGCCCAGAGCUCAACUCUGGAAUGGCCUUUGAGACUAGAGAACUAGGGUACGGGAGAGGUGAGUGGAAUUCCGAGUGUAGAGGUGAAAUUCGUAGAUAUUCGGAAGAACACCAGUGGCGAAGGCGGACUCACUGGCCC
rnacentral:rRNA from 1 species